CAUGCUGUAAACGAUGAGUACUAGCUGUUGGCCUAACUUCGGUUGGGUAAGUGGCGAAGCAAACGCGAUAAGUACUCCGCCUGGGGAAUACGGCCGCAAGGUUAAAACUCAAAGGAAUUGACGGGGGCCCGCACAAGCGGUGGAGCAUGUGGUUUAAUUCGAUGCAACGCGAAGAACCUUACCUACUCUUGACAUACCAGAAAGAACGCAGAGAUGUGUUUGUGCCUUCGGGAAUCUGGAUACAGGUGC
rnacentral:rRNA from 1 species